AAACAGCGAUCACAUCCUCCCCACGACCUCCUUCAAAAGCCGGAGCAAUAGGUUCUUUGAAGUGAGACAAAAUUACUAAGGGAGCUAAAGAGCAGAAACCAUGCUUAAUAAGAAUGAAACUGAAUUGGGAGGAAAAUUAGCUAUAACGUACAUUUAGAAAGGGAAGAAACGUCAGUGUUGAACCUGAAAACGAUCAUUUUCAAAUUACGCCUGGGGCCACGCAAGAGGGGACUGCAAAAUGAAAUCUUGGCUUCUCACUUUGAAAAUGCACUGGAGUUUGACAUGAACGUACACAUUUGACUUUUGCAUUCUGCCGGUUAGUUACACCACAGGACAGCCCGGGUCAGGGACAUCUGUGUCUGAAAGCACUGGAAACCUUCACCAGGUCUCUCGGAGUCUUUCUGGUCCAACAUCUCACAGCGUUGCUAUAACUUCAAUGAACUAUAUACCAGGACUCUUUUCCGUGGAGGCAAGGUACACUCCUGUCUGAAGAACAACUCUUCCGCAGAGGGUCCUGAGCAGAAAUCACAAGGUGAAGUCUGAUGGGACAAUGGAGCAUGCCAGCGAGGAGAGACGAUACACAUAUUAUGUGUAUCAGCCAUUCCUUGACACCCCAUUCAUAUUCCUGAUGCCCCAUGAGCACAGAGUUCUAGGGGACCCAUGAUGCAUUGGGUGUUCAAUGAGGCUCCAGUCAAGUACAUGACUUCCCUGGUGGCGCAGUGGUUGAGAGUCCGCCUGCCGAUCGAUGCAGGGGACACGGGUUCGUGCCCCAGUCCGGGAAGAUCCCACAUGCCACGGAGCAGCUGGGCCUGUGAGCCAUGGCCGCUGAGCCUGUGCGUCUGGAGCCUAUGCUCCGCAAGGGGAGAGGCCACAAUGGUGAGAGGCCCGCGUACCGCAAAAAAAAAAAAAAAAGUUUAUUUUCAUGGGAUACCUCAAUAAUCAGAAUAGGAAAGAACUGCAAUAUUAGCCUUUUAUGAAUCACUGAAUAUUCCUUAAUUAUUGGUUGAAUUAGUAUUGUACCAGUGGUAUCCCAAAGUGAUUUGGUAGAAUUCUGUGGCUUGGAAUUACUGAUCAUAUAGCAGCCAGUGCUGAGCUGGCUCUGCUAUAGGUUUAAAGUUCUUGAGUAUUUUGCAUGCAUCCAAGAGGUAGAUUAGGGCUGGAAGAGUCUAUGGCGGGCUGCUCAUUUAGGGACUAACUAGUCCUAGAAAUCUGGAGAAAUAAUCAAAGGAAGCUAUGGUGCCCAAACUUCCCAGAAUUUAUAAAGUGCUUUGGUAUAUAUUAAUAUAAUUAAUAUAUAGUCCUCAGGCUAAUUGGAAUGAAGAUGAACAGUAACUGAGAAGCUUGCCUUUCUUUGGAAGUACCGAAGGUUUCCAAGGAGUUUUUGAGUUUUCCCAGUAACCUCCCUGGGCCACAUCAUCUAUCUCGUAGGAGAUAGGGGCUAUAAACCUUCAAGAAUAUUUCACAACAAAAACAGCCUCUUGGGAAAU